rnacentral:rRNA from 1 species
UCUUAGCUUCCCUUAUGUUGGGGUAGGUUUAUGCGAUGCGUGGCCGCCUUCCAGCAAAACACAAACCCCGACGCAACAUGCGUCAAGGAACUUGAAAUUGUUUGAUACGCUUGUAGACCCGGAGACGGGGUUUCAACAAGCGAUGUCGUUCAACAUGUCUCAAAAUGACUCUCGGCAACGGAUAUCUCGGCUCUUGCAUCGAUGAAGAACGUAGCAAAAUGCGAUACUUGGUGUGAAUUGCAGAAUCCCGUGAACCAUCGAGUCUUUGAACGCAAGUUGCGCCUGAAACCAUUAGGUUGAGGGCACGUCUGCCUGGGUGUCACACAAUGUUGUCCUAUGCCAAUGCCUUUGAAUAAUCGGUGUUGAGCAAGGCGAAUGUUGGCCUUCCCACGAGCAUCGUCUCGUGGUUGGUUGAAAAAUGAGUCCUCGGUGGAAUGCUCCAUGAUAAAUGGUGGUUGAGUCAUGCUCGAGACCAAACAUGUGUGGCUUCCUCCUAAAAGCGGGACCUUUGACCCUUGCGUUCUCUUACAACGCUCACAACGAGACCUCAGGUCAGGCGGGACUACCCGCUGAGUUUAAGCAUA